rnacentral:lncRNA from 1 species
CAAUGGUCAAUUUCUGUACAGAUUACCUUCUUCUCCUUGCUCUCCCUCGAAAAACUCUGUCCACCAAAGGAAUGCCUAACGCAUUCUACCCAAAGUAACCGUUAAGGCUCACUCCUUCACCACACUACCUCCUUCGUUUCUAUUGGCCUAGUUGCUCCACUUCUUAAACAUAGAAGCAUAAGCUCUAGUAGGCUAUUUACCAGUUAUUGAGUCGACCGAAGCCGUUCGAUCGCGGGCAUCAAACUCACACGCCACACCAUCAUGGUGGAAAACUUCCU